rnacentral:tRNA from 1 species
GGGGUUGUGGCUCAGAGGUACAGUGCUCACCUAGCAUGUGUGAGGCACUGGGUUCUAUUCUCAGCACCACA